GUGUGAGAUGUACCCAUGAAGAUUAGAAUAGUGUGUAUCACUGAAUGUUUGAGUAAAAAGGAAAGGCAAGGAGGGGAAAAGAAGAAGGAAAGGAGAGAAGGGAUGGGGCAUGAUUUGGUUAUCUAGAUUUAUGCCUAUCAUAUAGCAUCAGGGUGAGGUAAGAGUAGAUUUUAUGCCUUCUCGUGAGAUGUUGUGCCCUGCACAACAGGUAACGAGCGCACUGUCACUGGACUACAUGAACUCACAUCAUGGCCUCCGUCUUCAUUCGGGUAUGUGUGCUGGGGUCCAAUAGGACAUUUAACCAUUCACU